rnacentral:rRNA from 1 species
AGUGAACGCUGGCGGUAGGCCUAACACAUGCAAGUCGAACGGCAGCACAGUAAGAGCUUGCUCUUACGGGUGGCGAGUGGCGGACGGGUGAGGAAUACAUCGGAAUCUACUUUUUCGUGGGGGAUAACGUAGGGAAACUUACGCUAAUACCGCAUACGACCUACGGGUGAAAGCAGGGGAUCUUCGGACCUUGCGCGAUUGAAUGAGCCGAUGUCGGAUUAGCUAGUUGGCGGGGUAAAGGCCCACCAAGGCGACGAUCCGUAGCUGGUCUGAGAGGAUGAUCAGCCACACUGGAACUGAGACACGGUCCAGACUCCUACGGGAGGCAGCAGUAGGGAAUAUUGGACAAUGGGCGCAAGCCUGAUCCAGCCAUACCGCGUGGGUGAAGAAGGCCUUCGGGUUGUAAAGCUCUUUUGUUGGGAAAGAAAAGCAGCAGGUUAAUACCCCGCUGUUCUGACGGUACCCAAAGAAUAAGCACCGGCUAACUUCGUG